rnacentral:rRNA from 1 species
AACGAACGCUGGCGGCGCGCCUAAUACAUGCAAGUCGAGCGAGAAGACGUAGCAAUACGUUUGUAAAGCGGCGAACGGGUGAGGAAUACAUGGGUAACCUACCCUCGAGUGGGGAAUAACUAGCCGAAAGGUUAGCUAAUACCGCGUACGCUCCUCGGACUUCGGUUCAGGGAGGAAAGCGAUACCGUGGGUAUCGCGCUCUUGGAUGGGCUCAUGUCCUAUCAGCUUGUUGGGAGGUAACGGCUCACCAAGGCUUCGACGGGUAGCUGGUCUGAGAGGACGAUCAGCCACACUGGCACUGCGACACGGGCCAGACUCCUACGGGAGGCAGCAGUAAGGAUAUUGCGCAAUGGGCGAAAGCCUGACGCAGCGACGCCGCGUGGGGGA